UACGUAGGGUGCAAGCGUUAAUCGGAAUUACUGGGCGUAAAGCGUGCGCAGGCGGUUAUGUAAGACAGAUGUGAAAUGCCCGGGCUUAACCUGGGAACUGCAUUUGUGACUGCAUGGCUAGAGUUUGGCAGAGGGGGGUAGAAUUCCACGUGUAGCAGUGAAAUGCGUAGAGAUGUGGAGGAACACCGAUGGCGAAGGCAGCCCCCUGGGCUGAGAUUGACGCUCAGGCACGAAAGCGUGGGGAGCAAACAGG
rnacentral:rRNA from 1 species